rnacentral:rRNA from 1 species
ACAGUAAAGUAUUAGUGUUUCGCCUGCCCAGUGACAUUUCGCUUACACGGCCGCCUCAUCCUAACCGUGCAAAGGUAACAUACUCACUUGUCUCUUAAAUAGGGACUUAAAUGAAUGGCUAAAUGAAGACCCAACCCCUCUCUCGCUCCCCACCAAUGAAACUGAUCCCCUAUAAAAAAAGCUAGGAUUUUCCCACAAGACAAGAACCCCUAUGAAGAAC